rnacentral:rRNA from 1 species
GUAAACAUGCAAAAACGAGCCAAAAACGGGCAAAAAUGGCCACGAACAUGUAACGUGGCGCGGAAACAGGUCACGUAGGGCCCCAAGGCGUUGUUGGAAAUGGCUAAGUCAGGGUAAGUGAGGGGCACGCGAAAACGGACAAAAAAAUGAGCCAAAACGGGCCAUGGGACCCUGUCCCACUAGGGUGGCCCACAGGGCCUAGGGGACCCACCCAUGGGGCCCCCACACAAAAAUUCCAUGGUUCGGUCCAUCCGCGAAAAACAACGACUCUCGUGCAUCUCCAGGGCGGAAACCAUAGUUUCUGAGCCAAGACCACAUGAAAAUUGCAUAUAACAUGGAUUUCCUAAGGUCCUCCAAAGUGCCUAUAGAAACCAUACAGAAAACUUUGAGAACUCCUGGGAGGGGGAUGCCCCUCAAGUAUAUUAGGGGGAGAGGGUUUGGCUGGCUGAGACCACGGACGAAGUGGUGGGAAACCACAAGUUUUGUGAGCGUUCUUGCAAGGACUGCUAUGCCGGACCACCUCCCACUACCCCGGCCUCCUUGGCCAGCCAGCAGCCUACCGCGUCAAGCUUUAGCUGGCUGCCCGGCCACCAUGGCAGGCCAGUGUGCGGCCAUGGCUGGCUUCAGCCAGCCAGACGCCUUGCUCGUUCCCAUAUCACUAACGGCCUCCGUGCCGGUAACUUCGGCCUCCAUGGCAGCUAUAGCAGCCUGCCAUGGCCAGCUUCGGCUAGCUACAGCGGGCCACCUAUGCCCCAUGGCUGGCUAGUGUGCAUCCUUGAGUGAGGCCAUGGCUACGGAUCUUCGACCGGAUGCCUCGCUCUGUGGAUGCAUGUGUACUGGCCCGAUGUUGGAUAAGUUUUGGUAACUUGGGCCUCCGUGGUGGUCGGCUGCCUGUCGCGGCCGGUUUCGGCUGGAUGCAGUGUGCAUGGUUGGAUGGACUUGCCUGUAUGCAUGGUUGGUUGGAUCGAUGUCGAGGAAUGGUUAGGACUCGCACCACGCGGAUCUUGGUGGUAGUAGCAAAUAUUCAAAUGAGAACUUUGAUGGCCAAAGAGGAGAAAGGUUCCAUGUGAACGACACUUGCACAUGGGUAAGCCAAUCCUAAGGGAUGGGGUAACCCUGGCAGACAGCGCGAUCUCGCGCGUUCCCCAAAAGGGAAUUGGGUUAAGAUUUCCCGAGUUGGGACAUGACGGUUGACAGCAACGUUAGGAAGUCCGGAGACACCAUCGGGGGUCACAGGAAGAGUUAUUUUUCUGCUUAAUGGCCUGCCAACCCUGGAAUCGGUUUAGCCAGAGGUAGGGUCCAGCGGUCGGAAGAGCACUGCACAUCACGUGGUGUCCGGUGCGCCCCCGGCGGCCCUUGAAAAUCUAGAGGACCACGUACCGUCCACGCCCGGUCAUACUCAUAACCGCAUCAGGUCUCCAAGGUAAACAACCUCUGGCCAAUGGAAUAAUGUAGGCAAGGGAAGUUGGCAAAACAGAUCUGCAACUUCGGGAAAAGGAUUUGCUCUGAGGUUGGGCUCAGGGGUCUUGGCCCCGAACCCGUCUACUGCCGGCAGGCUCCUCGAGUUGCUCCCGCGGCAAGAGCGGGCUGCCGCGUGCUGGUUGGGGGACGAACUGGGAACGGUCUCUUCGGGGGCCUUCCCUAGGCAUCGAACAACCGACUCAGAAAUGGUAUGGACAAGGGGAAUCCGACUAUAAGUAAAACAAAGUAUUGCGGUGGUCUCCACGGAUGCUGACGCAAUGUGAUUUCUGCCUAGUGCUCUGAAUGUCAAAGUGAAGAAAUUCAACCAAAUGCGGGUAAACAGUGGGAUAACUAUGACUCUCUUAAGGUAGCCAAAUGCCUCGUCAUCUAAUUAGUGAUUCAUAUGAAUGGAUUAAUGAGAUUCGUGGAAUCAGCGAAACCACAGCCAAGGGAACGGGCUUGGCGGAAUCAGCGGAGAAAGAAGAGCCUGUUGAGCUUGACUCUAGUCCGACUUUGCGAAAUGACUUGAUAGGUGUAAGUGGGAGCUUUCAGGCGCAAGUGAAAUACCACUACUUUUAAUGUUAUUUUACUUAUUCCAUGUGUCGAAAGCGGGGCAUCGCCCCUCCUUUUGGCUCUAAGGCCUGGCCUCGUCGGGCCGAUCUGGGUGGAAGACAUUGUCAGGUGGGGAGUUUGGCUGGGGUAGCACAUCUGUUAAAAGAUAACGCAGGUGUCCUAAGAUGAGCUCAACGAGAACAGAAAUCUCAUGUGGAACAAAAGGGUAAAAGCUCAUUUGAUUCUGAUUUCCAGUACGAACACGAACCAUGAAAGUGUGGCCUAUUGAUCCUUAGACCUUCUUAGUUUGAAGCUAGAGGUGUCAGAAAAGUUACCACAGGGAUAACUGGCUUGUGGCAGUCAAGCAUUCAUAGCAACAUUGCUUUUUGAUCCUUCGAUGUCGACUCUUCCUAUCAUUGUGAAGCAGAAUUCACCAAGUGUUGAAUUGUUCACCCACCAAUAGGGAACGUGAGCUGGGUUUAGACUGUCGCGAGAUAGGUUAGUUUUACCCUACUGAUGACCGUGUUGUGAUAGUAAUUCAACCUAGUAUGAGAGGAACCAUUGAUUCACACAAUUGGUCAUCAUGCUUGGUUUAAAAGCCAGUGGCGUGAAGCUACUGUGUGUCGGAUUAUGAAUGAACGUCUCUAAGUCAGAAUCCAAGCUAGCAACUGGCGCCUGUGCUCACCACUCGCCCUGACCCACAUUAGGGCGUUCGCGCCCCAAGGGCCCGUGCCAUUGGCUCAGCUCGCCUGGCCGACGCGCCGUGGCGGGCUGCCUUGAAGCUCCCUUCCCAAUGGGUGACGGGCUGAAUCCUUUGUAGAGGACUUAAAACGUGACAGGGUAUUGUAAGUGGUAGAGUGGCCUUGCUGCCAUGAUCCACUAAGAUCCAACCCUGCGUC